rnacentral:misc_RNA from 1 species
AAGUCGUAACAAGGUUUCCGUAGGUGAACCUGCGGAAGGAUCAUUAACAAGAAGAAUAUUGGUUUACUGAGUGUUAGUUGGGAUGGUGGUUGGGAGACUGACUGUCAUGCUUUCUAACAUUCUUUUAUAUCAAACACUAAUGUGAAUAGGAAUAUGUGGCAAAAAUAAUGGAUGGAAUAAUAACCAUUUUUUAUUAAACUCUUUAAACCUCAAACAAAAGAUAAAAAACAAAAAAUCCAAUGUCACAGUUGGAAAUAAAAAAAAGUAACAAAAUGAACAACUUUUAACAAUGGAUAUCUUGGUUCUCGC